rnacentral:rRNA from 1 species
CCAGAGAUGGAUUGGUGCCUUCGGGAACUCUGAGACAGGUGCUGCAUGGCUGUCGUCAGCUCGUGUUGUGAAAUGUUGGGUUAAGUCCCGCAACGAGCGCAACCCUUAUCCUUUGUUGCCAGCGGUUAGGCCGGGAACUCAAAGGAGACUGCCAGUGAUAAACUGGAGGAAGGUGGGGAUGACGUCAAGUCAUCAUGGCCCUUACGAGUAGGGCUACACACGUGCUACAAUGGCGCAUACAAAGAGAAGCGACCUCGCGAGAGCAAGCGGACCUCAUAAAGUGCGUCGUAGUCCGGAUUGGAGUCUGCAACUCGACUCCAUGAAGUCGGAAUCGCUAGUAAUCGUGGAUCAGAAUGCCACGGUGAAUACGUUCCCGGGCCUUGUACACACCGCCCGUCACACCAUGGGAGUGGGUUGCAAAAGAAGUAGGUAGCUUAACCUUCGGGAGGGCGCUUACCACUUUGUGAUUCAUGACUGGGGUGAAGUCGUAACAAGGUAAGCGUAGUGCU